CGGUUUGACACCCCCUCCCGCCCCGCUCCGCCCUCCUCCCCGCCCCGCCGGUUGUCCCUCCGUAAACGGAAGCCGAGGAGGGACGAAGGAGCCGGGGAGGAGGUUGGAGCAGCGCGAUGGGGGACUCCAAAGUGAAGGUGGCGGUGCGCGUCCGCCCCACGAACCGGCGAGCGGCCGAGAGUCAUGAAUGCCUCACAACUGGUGACUGCAGAGCUAGAAAAUGGAAUGACAACAGCUCAGCAGCCGCUUUAGAGACAGCCAGCGUGGCUUCGCCGAGGGCAAAUCGUGCCCGACUAAUCCAGCGGCCUUCCAUGAUGGAGUGACGGCAUUAGAGGACGAGGGAAGAGCUACGGAUGUCACCUGCCUGGAGGACGUCAGUGAGGCACGGACAGUUUUGCAGGCAUCCAUGAGUGAAGGACCAGAGUACCUCAAUCUGUCCCUUCAACAAUCCUUCCCCGCUCCAUGUUUUCAAUUGGAAACCGCACCAGUGAGCUCCUAAAUCCAGGCGGCGCCUCUGCAGAAGUGGAGCAAAACCAACAUGAUUCAGCAGAUGAAGCUGUAAAAUAUUCCAACCUUUGAAGUCAAGGCAGUUCAGCCCUGACCAUUCAUGUAUCUCAGAAGUACUAGGAGAUAAACGCGGGAAACAUUACACAGCUCGGAGGCAGGGGCUCGCAUAAAGGAAAUGUCCAGAGGCAAGACUGCAGAGCCAUGAGAAGUCAUCGCCUUCCCAGAGCCCCGAUAAAACCCGACGUUGAAGCUGAGGAUGGUUCUUUGGCCUCCGAGGAUGUCUCCGUCUUCAGAGAAGUUUGCAGAACGUAGCAACGAUCACGUGCGAAUCUGGUUUCUCUUUGGCAAUUAGAAUGGAAGAAAGGUUGAAAGGGUGACUCAACAGAAAAAACAUCACCCUCCACUUGCGGCUCAUCAUGCCCAGCUGUAAAGCGGGGAUUAUAUUUACCUCCAUUGCAAAGUACUCGGUUUCAGAAGACGUUGGUGCGGUUUGCUGAGGCCCCGGCUGGAAAAUACCACAAGAAGUUCAAAGCCCGGUUUCAUCCUGUAAUUGGAUCCUCAAGUCCACAAGUGCAAGAACCAACUGUGCGGGCUGACAGCAGGUCCUCCCUCUUCCAACAAGAACCCCACCACAACACGGGGCUGUGGGGCUGAGCUGCAAGCGUGGCAUACCCAGGAGCUGCUACUUUCUGCUGCUAUGCACAAAAAAAUGUUGUUUAAAGCUUUUGCCACCCUGUUUGAUCUGACCUGCUGUUAUUUUUUCUUUCUUUUUUUUUUUUUUAACUCUAAGACAUCUUCUUAACUCUCAUGCUCACUUGGGAUGCUCUUAAGAACAUGGACUUUAAUCCCAGUGUUACUUAAAUACCAAUUUAAUAUUUGUUUUCUCUCUGCCUUGACAAGAUAUUCCUCAGGUCAAGCAGGCAUGAAAUGAUAGAUAUUGAGUGCAAUUCUUCUGGGCAAGAAGAGCUACCUUCUAAGAUCUUAUCUCAAAACCACUUGGAAAUGUGUUCUUUAUUUAUUUAUGCCAUAAAAUCUCAUUCGAUGUUGAAGGCCCAAAGGAUUACAAUUCUGAAUUGGUUGGUUUGCUGUUUUGUUUUCUUUUUUUUUUUCCCCCGUCCUUGCUGAAAUCUGGCCUUUCAAAAUAACACAGAGAGAAUCUUUGUUUUGAUCUAAAAUAGCAGCUGCAAGGGCUUUUAAAUGACCAUUUAAAUGAGAUUUCUUUUUUUGCAUCUUCGCAUUAUAGUUUCAUUCUCGGUCUCUGAGAUCAGUAGCUGCGGUUGAGCAGCCGAGCCGUCUAAUGGGAAUAAAUUGUAAUAUUGUUCCAA